CAGUAAUAUCUUCCUUUUCCCAAUUUCAAAUCAAACCAAAUCAGCGACUGAGAUUUGGACAAACAAACAAAGAAGCUAGCUACUUCUUUGGUGCUUAGUAAUCACUAAGACAACAUCAGUAUGAUCAAGUUUGAAUUCGGUUCAGACAGAUAGUGAACUCAUGUAAUUUACUUGGCUUCUGGGGUUUCAGGUGUCAUCAUAAGUAACAAAUCUUGUAGAUGCAAGAAAAACACACACACAC